UACGGGGGGGGCAAGCGUUGUUCGGAAUUACUGGGCGUAAAGGCUCGUAGGCGGCCAACUAAGUCGGAUGUGAAAUCCCCAGGCUAACUUGGGAACUGCAUCCGAUACUGGAUGGCUUGAAUCCGGGAGAGGGAUGCGGAAUUCCAGGUGUAGCGGUGAAAUGCGUAGAUAUCUGGAGGAACACCGGUGGCGAAGGCGGCAUCCUGGACCGGCAUUGACGCUGAUGAGCGAAAGCCAGGGGAGCAAACGGG
rnacentral:rRNA from 1 species